GAUGAAGAACGCAGCGAAAUGCGAUAAGUAAUGUGAAUUGCAGAAUUCAGUGAAUCAUCGAAUCUUUGAACGCACCUUGCGCCCCUUGGUAUUCCGAGGGGCAUGCCUGUUCGAGCGUCAUUGUAACCCUCAAGCUCAGCUUGGUGUUGGGGCCUGCUGCACUGGCAGCCCUUAAAAUCAGUGGCGGCGCCAUCUGGCUCUAAGCGUAGUAAUUCUUCUCGCUAUGGAGUCCUGGUGGAUGCUUGCCAUCAACCCCCAAUUUUUCUAUGGUUGACCUCGGAUCAGGUAGGGAUACCCGCUGAACUUAAGCAUAUCAAUAAGCGGAGGA
rnacentral:misc_RNA from 1 species